AUUGAACGCUGGCGGCAGGCCUAAUACAUGCAAGUCGAGCGAGCGGCGGACGGGUGAGUAAUGUCUGGGAAACUGUCUGAUGGAUGGGGAUAACUACUGGAAACGGCAGCUAAUAACGCAUACAAUGAGAUUUGGCCAGGGGGGAUUAGCUAGUGGGUGGGGUAACGGCUCACCUAGGCGACGAUCCCUAGCUGGUCUGAGAGGAUGAUCAGCCACACUGGAACUGAGACACGGUCCAGACUCCUACGGGAGGCAGCAGUGGGGAAUAUUGCACAAUGGGCGCAAGCCUGAUGCAGCCAUGCCGCGUGAGUGAAGAAGGCCUUCGGGUUGUAAAGCACUUUCAGCGGGGAGGCGUUACCCGCAGAAGAAGCACCGGCUAACUACGUGCCAGCAGCCGCGGUAAUUC
rnacentral:rRNA from 1 species